rnacentral:rRNA from 1 species
CAUGCAAGUCGAACGGAAAGGCCCUUCGGGGUACUCGAGUGGCGAACGGGUGAGUAACACGUGGGUGAUCUGCCCUGCACUUUGGGAUAAGCCUGGGAAACUGGGUCUAAUACCGAAUACACCCUGCUGGUCGCAUGGCCUGGUGGGGGAAAGCUUUUGCGGUGUGGGAUGGGCCCGCGGCCUAUCAGCUUGUUGGUGGGGUGAUGGCCUACCAAGGCGACGACGGGUAGCCGGCCUGAGAGGGUGACCGGCCACACUGGGACUGAGAUACGGCCCAGACUCCUACGGGAGGCAGCAGUGGGGAAUAUUGCACAAUGGGCGCAAGCCUGAUGCAGCGACGCCGCGUGGGGGAUGACGGCCUUCGGGUUGUAAACUCCUUUCGCCAGGGACGAAGCGCAAGUGACGGUACCUGGAGAAGAAGGACCGGCCAACUACGUGCCAGCAGCCGCGGUAAUACGUAGGGUCCGAGCGUUGUCCGGAAUUACUGGGCGUAAAGAGCUCGUAGGUGGUUUGUCGCGUUGUCCGUGAAAACUCACAACUCAAUUGUGGGCGUGCGGGCGAUACGGGCAGACUGGAGUACUGCAGGGGAGACUGGAAUUCCUGGUGUAGCGGUGGAAUGCGCAGAUAUCAGGAGGAACACCGGUGGCGAAGGCGGGUCUCUGGGCAGUAACUGACGCUGAGGAGCGAAAGCGUGGGGAGCGAACAGGAUUAGAUACCCUGGUAGUCCACGCCGUAAACGGUGGG